rnacentral:rRNA from 1 species
CCUACGGGUGGCUGCAGUGAGGAAUAUUGGUCAAUGGGCGCAAGCCUGAACCAGCCAUGCCGCGUGCAGGAAGACGGCCUAUGGAUUGUAAACUGCUUUUAUUAGGGAAUAGGUACCUAAUGAAUAAGCACCGGCUAACUCCGUGCCAGCAGCCGCGGUAAUACGGAGGGUGCAAGCGUUAUCCGGAAUCAUUGGGUUUAAAGGGUCCGCAGGCGGAUUUAUAAGUCAGUGGUGAAAGCCCGUCGCUCAACGACGGAACUGCCAUUGAUACUGUAAGUCUUGAAUUCGAUCGAAGUGGGCGGAAUAUGACAUGUAGCGGUGAAAUGCUUAGAUAUGUCAUAGAACACCGAUAGCGAAGGCAGCUCACUAGGUCUGAUUGACGCUCAGGGACGAAAGCGUGGGGAGCAAACAGGAUUAGAUACCCUUGUAGUC